GACGAACGCUGGCGGCGUGCUUAACACAUGCAAGUCGAACGGAAAGGCCCUGCUUUUGUGGGGUGCUCGAGUGGCGAACGGGUGAGUAACACGUGAGUAACCUGCCCUUGACUUUGGGAUAACUUCAGGAAACUGGGGCUAAUACCGGAUAGGAGCUCCUGCUGCAUGGUGGGGGUUGGAAAGUUUCGGCGGUUGGGGAUGGACUCGCGGCUUAUCAGCUUGUUGGUGGGGUAGUGGCUUACCAAGGCUUUGACGGGUAGCCGGCCUGAGAGGGUGACCGGCCACAUUGGGACUGAGAUACGGCCCAGACUCCUACGGGGGGCAGCAGUGGGGAAUAUUGCACAAUGGGCGGAAGCCUGAUGCAGCAACGCCGCGUGCGGGAUGACGGCCUUCGGGUUGUAAACCGCUUUAGCCUGUGACGAAGCGUGAGUGACGGUAAUGGGUAAAGAAGCACCGGCUAACUACGU
rnacentral:rRNA from 1 species